rnacentral:rRNA from 1 species
UACAGAGGGUGCAAGCGUUGUUCGGAAUUACUGGGCGUAAAGCGCGUGUAGGCGGCGUUGUAAGUCGGAUGUGAAAUCCCUCGGCUUAACCGAGGGAAGUGCAUCCGAUACUGCAGUGCUUGAGUGUCGGAGGGGAUGGCGGAAUUCCCGGUGUAGAGGUGAAAUUCGUAGAUAUCGGGAGGAACACCUGUGGCGAAGGCGGCCAUCUGGACGAUAACUGACGCUGAGACGCGAAAGCGUGGGUAGCAAACAGG